CUCUUCUCUACACUUAAAUGGCGCCAAAGAAACAAGGCAGUAGAAAAAAAGGCUCUGCGGCUUCCUCGAGAAAGUCCGCCUCCACAUCGUCAUGCCACGCUACGUCAACUUCUCGCCACCCUACGUCAUCUUCUGCCCACCCUACGUCAUCUUCUGCCCACCCUACGUCAUCGCCAGGCCACCCAACGUCAUCGUCGUCUACCCACAAUGUGUCCGCAUCAACACCAUUCUCGACAUCACCACCGGUAACGUCGCUGCCGUCGGCCAGUUCGCCAUCGGCGUCAACAGUCACUACGACAUCCGUGUCCACCUCGACUUCGGCGUCCACGUCCGCUUCGUCCCUAACGUCAGCGAUGGCAUCUCUAUCAAUAUCCGACACCCUAACUCUUACCGACGAAAUACCAAUUAAGCUGAACGGCAAGAAUUAUCUUGAAUGGAAUGAGAAAGUUGAAGGUGUCUUGAAAGCCCGCAAUCUGCUACGGUUCGUGGAGAAGAUCUUCGAUCCUGAACCGUACGCAAGCGAAAGCGAUCGCACGCAGAACAUCGGAACCGAAAAGUUCCGGCAAUGGUUUGUUCAAGAUCAGAUGUUGCGCACGUGGUUGUUAUCGUCUAUGCGCGAAGACCUUGCUUCUUUGAUGGCCGGAUGCCAAUACGCGUGGCAGGUUUGGGAAACGGUGAAAGAACUCUUCCAUUCUGAUUUUGCGGUAAGGGUUUGGCGACUUAGGUCAGAGCUGGGGACAAUAAAGAAAGGAAAUUUGUCUGUGUCUGAGUACGUUGGCAAGAUCCAAAGCAUUGUUGAUUCUUUGGCUGAAACAGGUAAUCCUGUGUCUGAAGAAGAUCACGUUGAAGCGGUCUUGGCAGGAUUGCCAAAGGAGUUUGAGUCGGUCGUCAAAAUGGCGCGAAUGUUGGAGGGUCUCACUCCUAUCGCAGUUAGUAAUAUUGAAACCUGGUGCUUAGUCUUAGAAGAGAAAUAUACAAGUGAAUAUCGCCACGUUGACGGUGGAGGAGGCCCUUCAACUCAAGAUGACGAACCAUCUUGCUCCCCUGAGUGUUCUACUUCUGAAAGCGGUCGUGGAAGUCGUAGACGAAGAGGCCAUGGUCGCGGUGGCCGCCAUCGGGGCAGGAACUAGGUUUCUUCCCUCGGAUUAGCUUCUGGUUUAUUCUGCAUGGCGAUUUGGUCAUUUACGUUUUGUGGUCUCACUUUAGGUUAAUAGUCACUGUCUUACACUAGGGAAAUCGACACAGAAGCUUGGAUCCGGUCAAAAAGAAAUCGUCAUACUGGGAAUCUAAACAUGAGAUUGGAGAACUCGUCAAACAAAGGCAUGCAAAACGUCAUUUCUUGUGUGAUCUUAUGAAUGUAGUUAGCAGUUGCACGCUAUCAUUACUAAGAUAACCUUGUUUUGACUGUACAUUACACAGUACUAGUAUCAUAACUGCCUCGUGUGUAAUAUCAUUUCUUCAACUAACUCUGUAAAAUAGACAAAAACAGAUAGUCAAAUAUAAGAA